ACGAACGCUGGCGGCAGGCCUAACACAUGCAAGUCGAGCGCCCUUUCGGGGGAGCGGCGGACGGGUGAGUAACGCGUGGGAAUAUGCCCUUCUCUACGGAAUAGCCUCGGGAAACUGAGAGCAAUACCGUAUACGCCCUGUGGGGGAAAGAUUUAUCGGGGAAGGAUUAGCCCGCGUUGGAUUAGGUAGUUGGUGGGGUAAUGGCCUACCAAGCCGACGAUCCAUAGCUGGUUUGAGAGGAUGAUCAGCCACACUGGGACUGAGACACGGCCCAGACUCCUACGGGAGGCAGCAGUGGGGAAUCUUAGACAAUGGGGGCAACCCUGAUCUAGCCAUGCCGCGUGAGUGAUGAAGGCCUUAGGGUUGUAAAGCUCUUUCAGCUGGGAAGAUAAUGACGGUACCAGCAGAAGAAGCCCCGGCUAACUCCGUG
rnacentral:rRNA from 1 species